GGUUGCGGCUCAGUGGUAGAGCACUUGCCUUGCAUGUGAAUGGCCCUGGGUUCAAUCCUCAGCACCA
rnacentral:tRNA from 1 species